rnacentral:misc_RNA from 1 species
UUUCCGUAGGUGAACCUGCGGAAGGAUCAUUAUUGAUUGAAACACUUCUGGCUUUAUUCUGUUGUGCUGGCCCUUUUGUCAAUGUGCACACGGUUCUGGUCACUUGUUUCUUCUGUUCCACCUGUGCACUGCCUGUAGACACGCUGUGUCUAUGAUAUUUUUUAACACACAACAAUGUUAGUUGGAAUGUAAUAUAUAAUAAUAAAAUAUACAACUUUCAACAACGGAUCUCUUGGCUCUC